GGGUAUUUUUCCAGCCCGAUGGUUGAUGAUACUAAUCUUGAAGAUUUGGAUAAUAAUAACAAUGCAUACGCUGACCAGCAAUCCCAAUCAAUGCAAGUCAAUCGUGCAGUCCCCUCUACAAGACCAAACCAUAAAAGAUCAAAGAAUUUUAGUGACCAUGAAGAUGAAGUUUUGGUUUCAGCGUGGUUGAAUAUUAGUUUGGAUCCUGUGGUAGGCAAGGAUAAAAAAGGUGGAAGGUAUUGGUCUCGUAUCUGUGAUUAUUUCCAUGAACACAAGACUUGUUCAUCAAAGCGUACCAUAAAUUCUCUUAAUGCACCGGUGGGAGACCAUACAAAAAAGUGUAAACAAGUUUUGUGGAUGUCUUACACGUAUUGAGUUAAGACGUUAGAGUGGCACUACAAUGCAAGGCAAGGUUGCAGAGGCAUGUGCUUUAUACAAGUCCGAGGAUGAACAUCAGAAAUCAUUUCAGUUCAUGCAUUGCUGGAAUAAGCUAAGAACACAACCAAAAUGGCUAUGUAAAAGAAAUGAAAUGUAUGCUGCUAAAAUCUUGAACAAGAGACAUAAGUUAAAUUCAAAUGGUGAUGGUAGUGGAUGGAUUCCAAGUGAAAUAGGAGAAGGUGAGGUUCAAGGUGUAGAGGAUAAUCAAUUGACAAGGCCUAUUGGAAAGAAACAAUCUAAAGCAACACUGCUACAAGAGAAGAAGAAAAGUGUGACAAUAACAUUGGAAAAUAUGUGGUCACAAAAGCAAGAAACUGAUAUGGAGAAAGAGCUCAAAAAAGAGGAGAGGUUCAGUAAAGCCUUUGCACUUGAACAAGAGCGAGUUGCCAAUGAAAAAGAACUUGUGGAGGUGAGGAAGCAGGAGGUUCAAUUGCAGAAACAAAGAGACGAAGAGAGGAUUAUGACUAUGGAUCUUAGUGGAUUGACAGAAGAGCAACAGACUUACUACAUGAAGUUGCGGGCUAAGAUUUUGGACCAACUUUCUGAUGCUUAGGUUCCAGGUGCUCGAGUGUCAGCGCUACCAGUUUACUAGUCUCAUAUAGUUGUGUCCAUGUCAGUGUUUUAGUUCAUGUUUUGUCCAAACAUGCGUAAGUUUGGUUUUUAUCUCAAAUAGUUGUGUCAUUGCUUCCAGGGUAUUUACUGUUUUAAGAUCUGCUAGGUGUCCAUGUUUGUCAAAUCACAGGUGUCGUUGAUACAAAUCACUGUAUAAGUGUUCAACCAACACUAUGAUUAUAUGGCUUGAAAAGCAUUUCUGAUCUCAUAGUAAUAGUACUUCAGUGCAAAUUAUUACAAGUAAAAAAUAUAGGGUACACAUAAUUAGUUGUAGAGAUCUGGAUGAUGCUACCAUAUGUGUUCAAUGAGGUCAUCUUGAAGCUGAGUGUGAAUACCUUUAUCUUUUAUUUUCUUGUAGUUGUGUAUAAACUCCUCGAGUUCUGGUGUUUCUUCAUGAGAAGU